CCUACGAGUGGCAGCAGUGGGGGAUAUUGCACAAUGGGGGGAACCCUGAUGCAGCGACGCCGCGUGGGUGAAGAAGCGCCUCGGCGCGUAAAGCCCUGUCAGCAGGGAAGAAAAUGACGGUACUUGAAGAAGAAGCCCCGGCUAACUACGUGCCAGCAGCCGCGGUAAUACGUAGGGGGCAAGCGUUAGCCGGAUUUACUGGGGGUAAAGGGGGCGCAGACGGCGAUGCAAGCCAGGAGUGAAAGCCCGGGGCGCAACCCGGGGACUGCUCUUGGGACUGCGUGGCUGGAGUGCAGGAGGGGCAGGCGGAAUUCCUGGUGUAGCGGUGAAAUGCGUAGAUAUCAGGAGGAACACCGGUGGCGAAGGCGGCCUGCUGGACUGCAACUGACGUUGAGGCGCGAAAGCGUGGGGAGCAAACAGGAUUAGAUACCCCUGUAGUC
rnacentral:rRNA from 1 species